AGCAGGCGAGACAGACGGCAAGUCGCCGGGCUCAUAACCCGGAGAUACUUGGUUCGACUCCAGGGCUUGCUACCA
rnacentral:tRNA from 1 species